rnacentral:rRNA from 1 species
GAUGAACGCUGGCGGCGUGCCUAAUACAUGCAAGUCGAGCGAACGGACGAGAAGCUUGCUUUUCUGAUGUUAGCGGCGGACGGGUGAGUAACACGUGGAUAACCUACCUAUAAGACUGGGAUAACUUCGGGAAACCGGAGCUAAUACCGGAUAAUAUUUUGAACCGCAUGGUUCAAAAGUGAAAGACGGUCUUGCUGUCACUUAUAGAUGGAUCCGCGCUGCAUUAGCUAGUUGGUAAGGUAACGGCUUACCAAGGCAACGAUGCAUAGCCGACCUGAGAGGGGGGUCGGCCACACUGGAACUGAGACACGGUCCAGACUCCUAAGGGAGGCAGCAGUAGGGAAUCUUCCGGCAAGGGCGGAAGCCUGACGGAGCAACGCCGCGUGAGUGAUGAAGGUCUUCGGAUCGUAAAACUCUGUUAUUAGGGAAGAACAUAUGUGUAAGUAACUGUGCACAUCUUGACGGUACCUAAUCAGAAAGCCACGGCUAACUACGUG